CCACCAGUCUCUGAUCCCCUUCGAUGCUCUUCACCAUCAACCCCAGGCCAAGAGCCAUGAAGCGGGAGAGAUGGCCCUGGACUGAGACUUGAAUGAUGAAUAGGUGCUAGGCAUGUAAAGAAAAUACAGGUAAUAGCAAACACUUAUUUAACACCUUCUCGGCCAGGUACUGCUGUAAACAUUUGACAUGUAUUAAUGCAUUUGAUCCUUUAAACAACACUUUGAGGUAGGUAUUAUUUUUUAUCCCCCAUUUUACAGAUGUAGAAACAGGCACAGCACUUAAGUAACUUGCCCACGUCCAAAAGCUAGCAAAUAGCUGAGCUGGGAUUAUUUAUUUAUUUUUAGAGAUGGAGUCUCACUCUGCCACCUAGGCUGGAGUGCAGUGGCGCGAUCUCAGCUCACUGCAACCUCCGCCUCCCUGGUUCUAGCAAUUCUCCUGCCUCAGCCUCCCUAGUAGCUGGGACUACAGGUGUGUGCUGC
rnacentral:lncRNA from 10 species